CCUCAUGAUAGAUAGUUAUCGUUUCUGCCUGUUCUAAUUCACACUGCUCCAAAUAGCCGGCAGUGGGUCGCAGCCCAGAUUGCUGUAAUUCCCUUCUCCAUAAUGAGUUAGUGUCAUGGAAAGCAACUGGACACGUUGAGUUUCACCAAAGAAACUAGAAUGUACUCCGUGCAGGAAACUGUACAAGACAACCUGAAACCAACAAGAAAAAAAGCUGGCAGGUUUAUGAAAAAGUCGGUGCCGUGCUGUGCUGACUGAGCUGUUCCCCAAGAUGGGAAACAAAAGGUAAGCCAGUUCUUCUUAUUAAUUUUCCUCAAAGUCAGAAAAAUAUCACAAAAGAUGCCAACAGAAGUGAAUAACAUCACUCUUUUUAUUCUAAUUGUUGUAAAUUCACUUACAAAAGUAACUUAUAAACAGCUUUAAUCCUUUGAUCACUCUGAAAAAACCUAAAGAGAUAUUACCAAGCCAUAUUAUAUGCCCAAUAUUCCGGAGAGCUACUUUUGCUUAUAUAAUCACUUGAACCUUGAAAUAAAGCAGAAAUAUAACUGGAAAUCAUUUAUGUUUAGAUGGUGAAACAGUGACUUCAUGUUUGGCCAGGCCACAGUCACAUUUGGAGUUUUCCAAAAAAAGAUGACGCACAACGACAGACUGUGACAGAAUGACCAAAACAAUAACACCAGUCAAGGGACAAAUGUUGGUGUCACAUUGCCCUGGUUGCUGCUUAUUUUUAGAUUGAGAGCAGCCUGUUGAUAGGAUGCUGUAGUUUGAAACCACCAUGUUUUAACCACCAUGUUUAUUAUGUCAUUUGUCUGGACUCAAACCUUCCACCGUAAGGCUUGGCUCUAAAUUAGAGCAAAGAUGAGCUGGUAAGUAACGUCAUCCAGGAUAUCAGGAUGUGAAGUAAAUUUGGCAGUAAUCAACAAACAGGUUUCAGGAAGUUCUAAAAUAAAAAUCAGCUGUUCAUCACUGGGCAUCCAGGCUUACAUAGGCUUUAGGCCUGAAGCGUGACACCAACAUGGAAGUGCCUUCAAUCUGCAAUUAUUCUAACAGCCAGUACGGCUUUUUGUUGCAAAAAGAAAUACAGUUAUAAAAAAGUCUAUAGAAAAAUGUGCCUGCAAGUCAUUUGAAUUUUCCUGAUGUGUUUAAAGUCCCAGUUGUUGAUUUCAGGUGUUAUUGAACACAUAAUGAAGUUAGUUAUGUAAAUUAUGUGAAGGCUGGGACUACUUUGUGAUUGACAUCAUGCUACCAAAAAAACAUGCAAGUGCCCUGAGAUUAUUCAGACACUUUACCUUUACACCAACUGCCAAAA
rnacentral:lncRNA from 1 species